rnacentral:tRNA from 1 species
UAAAACCUGUGGAACACUAAACCACAUCUUCUGAAUGCA